rnacentral:rRNA from 1 species
GACGAACGCUGGCGGCGUGCCUAAUACAUGCAAGUAGAACGCACAGUUUAUACCGUAGCUUGCUACACCAUAAACUGUGAGUUGCGAACGGGUGAGUAACGCGUAGGUAACCUGCCUGGUAGCGGGGGAUAACUAUUGGAAACGAUAGCUAAUACCGCAUAAUAUUGAUUAUUGCAUGAUAAUUGAUUGAAAGAUGCUAUUGCAUCACUACCAGAUGGACCUGCGUUGUAUUAGCUAGUAGGUGAGGUAACGGCUCACCUAGGCGACGAUACAUAGCCGAGCUGAGAGGGUGAUCGGCCAAACUGGGACUGGGACACGGCCCAGAAUCCUACGGGAGGCAGCAGUAGGGGAUCUUCGGCAAUGGACGAAAGGCUGAACGAGGAACGCCGCGUGAGUGAAGAAGGUUUUCGGGUCGUAAAGCUCUGUUGUAAGGGAAGAACGGGUGUGAGAGUGGAAAGUUCACACUGUGACGGUAUCUUACCAGAAAGGGACGGCUAACUACGUG